UACGUAGGUGGCAAGCGUUGUCCGGAUUUACUGGGCGUAAAGAGCGCGCAGGCGGUCGUUCAAGUCGCGUGUGAAAGCCCCCGGCUCAACUGGGGAGGGUCACGCGAUACUGAUCGACUCGAAGGCAGGAGAGGGAAGUGGAAUUCCCGGUGUAGUGGUGAAAUGCGUAGAUAUCGGGAGGAACACCAGUGGCGAAGGCGACUUCCUGGCCUGUUCUUGACGCUGAGGCGCGAAAGCUAGGGGAGCAAGCGGG
rnacentral:rRNA from 1 species